CCUAGCACUUCCGUGCUAGGCUAAUGUAUGUCGUGCUUUCAGCACU
rfam:Lentisphaera araneosa HTCC2155 1101329224557, whole genome shotgun sequence.